GCGGCGUGCUUACACAUGCAGUGGAGCGACGAACAGGGCUUGCCCUGGGGCAAAGCCGCGAACGGGUGAGUAACACGUGAGUAAUCUGCCCCGAUAACCGGGACAACCCGAGGAAACUCGGGCUAAUACCGGAUGUGGCGUACAGGCAUAAGCCUGUCCGUUAAAGGUAGCUUCGGCUUCUGUAUCGGGAGGGGCUCGCGGCCCAUUAGCUUGUUGGUGGGGUAAAGGCCUACCAAGGCAACGAUGGGUAGCUGGUCUGAGAGGACGAUCAGCCACACUGGGACUGAGACACGGCCCAGACUCCUACGGGGGGCAGCAGUGGGGAAUCUUGCGCAAUGCGCGAAAGCGUGACGCAGCAACGCCGCGUGAGGGAAGACGGCCUUCGGGUUGUAAACCUCUUUCAGGAGGGACGAAGGUUCGCCGGUGAAUAGCCGUGUGGAUUGACGGUACCUCCAGAAGAAGCUCCGGCUAACUACGUGCCAGCAGCCGCGGUAAU
rnacentral:rRNA from 1 species